rnacentral:rRNA from 1 species
UACGUAGGGGGCAAGCGUUGUCCGGAAUCAUUGGGCGUAAAGAGCGUGUAGGCGGUCCGGUAAGUCGGCUGUGAAAGUCCAGGGCUCAACCCUGGGAUGCCGGUCGAUACUGCCGGACUAGAGUUCGGAAGAGGCGAGUGGAAUUCCCGGUGUAGCGGUGACAUGCGCAGAUAUCGGGAGGAACACCUAUGGCGAAGGCAGCUCGCUGGGACGUUACUGACGCUGAGACGCGAAAGCGUGGGGAGCAAACAGG